rnacentral:rRNA from 1 species
AUUGAACGCUGGCGGCAGGCCUAACACAUGCAAGUCGAGCGAGCGGCGGACGGGUGAGUAAUGUCUGGGAAACUGCCUGAUGGAGGGGGAUAACUACUGGAAACGGUAGCUAAUACCGCAUACCAUCAGAUGUGCCCAGAUGGGAUUAGCUAGUAGGUGGGGUAAUGGCUCACCUAGGCGACGAUCCCUAGCUGGUCUGAGAGGAUGACCAGCAACACUGGAACUGAGACACGGUCCAAACCACUAGGGGAGGCGGCAGUGGGGAAUAUUGCACAAGGGGCGCAAGCCUGAUGCAGCAAGGCGGCGUGUGGGAAGAGGGCCUUCGGGUUGUAAAGCACUUUCAGCGGGGAGGCGUUACCCGCAGAAGAAGCACCGGCUAACUCCGUGCCAGCAGCCGCGGUAAUU